GUUCAGGUCAUCAGUGUGAUUCAUUCAGUCAGUCAACACGCGAAAAACACCAUAAUAAUGGCUUCUUCUUCUCUGCUUUCGUUUUACUCUUAGCGUGCAAAGGAGGAAACCUAGGUCACACCGAUAAUGGCUUCUUCUUCUUCUUCUGCAAUUCUUCUAGUCUUUCUUCAUCUCCUUGUCAUUUCCUGUUUAACAUCAUCUGCUCAUGAAAUUUCCGGUGAAAAAAUCGGUAACAAAUCAGCUUCAUGUAAUAACGUUGUUCAGCUGGUAAAGUUGAUGAUGUGGGUAAAUAGUACCAAAGUUGAAAGUGUAGUUGGUUUAAGUGCUGCCUUUGGUGUUCCCUUGCCAAGACAUGCAGAAAAUGCUUUUCGAUAUCCUGCCGCUUUCGCAAACCCCUCAAAUUGCUGCUCAAGUUCAACCUCAAAUUUAUCGAAUUCUAUUGCACUGUCUACAAGCGGAGAUUGAGUCUUUAAGAAGAAAGCAGAAGCCACUGAAUCAGGUGGUGCAUCUGGGUUAUUGGUGAUCAAUAGCAAUGAAGAGCUUUUCAAAAUGGUGUGUCAAGAAAAUGAUACUUCCAUAAACAUAACAAUUCCUGUUGUCAUGAUCACGAAGUCGACAGGAGAGACUAUGAAAAAAUUAAUGUUAGCCGGAGGACAGGUGGAGCUUCUAUUGUACUCUCCAAACCUCGCACUAGUAGACGUUUCAGAUAUAUUUUUAUGGAUGAUGGCUGUUGGCACUAUUGUCUGUGCGUCUCUUUGGUCCGAGUUUAUUGCUUCUAAGCAAGGUCACGAGAGUAAUGAUCAGCUGACACCAAAGGUCUCUUCUGCUGCUGAGACUGUCAGAAAUGACUCUUCUAAGGAGAUUAUUCAUAUCAAUGUCGGGGCUGCUGUGGUAUUUGUUAUUGUAGCAUCAGUCUUGCUGAUGCUACUGUGCUUCUUUAUGUCUGCUUGGUUCAUUUGGCUGCUGAUUGUACUAUUUUGCCUCAGUGGAACUGAGGCACAGAGUUUUUUGGAAUUUCCUCCUUACUUUUUUGUUUGAUUGUUUCCUCAAAACUUGAUUAAUUGGUUGCAUCCAUCAUUGUGUAUCAAUUGUAAAGGUUUGCUUCAUGAUCAUGACUGAGACAUUGGUGUCAUAAGUAUAAGACCUUCUUACUAUGUCUACUUGGAAUAUUUAUUUUUCCAUUUAAUGUUUGGAGAGGUGCAGUUAGUAAUGAUUAGUGCCUAAUGUGCACAACAGACCAGAAGAAACGAGAUAACGUUUGUGAUUUUUCAUCUUUUGCUGAACACAUCAUUAGUAUGUCCUUUGCUUCAUUUUUCCUACUACUUAGUCUUGCUGCUCUAUUUCCAUUUCAUCUUACUUUUAAAAUGCUCACUCUACUGGUACACUAGAAUAACAACCCUCAUGGAUAUCUUGUUGACGAUGGAUAUUCUCUUGAUUGCAGGUCUCGUCCUCACAGAUGUUGGGUUAUACUUAAUGGAUGGGAAUGGUCAACCAGCACUCCUAUAUCUUGUUCCUUGUACUUUGGGGCUUAUAGUUAUUCUAGGCUGGGUUAGAGGUGAGCUGAAACACCUCUGGAACUAUGGGUCCUCUGCACCAGUAUCUAGAGAUCCUUUAGGCGAAGUCUGAGUAUAUUAGGGUUAGUUGUAUCUAGAGAUGAAAGUAUAGAUAACAGGCAGCGGCAGACUCCAUAGAUCGAUCUGUUGAAGCUACCUGCAUACAAGAUAGUGAUUAAGCUUGUUGAUAUUCAGCAAAGAUCUGUUGGACCAAUUUUGAUAAGAUCUGUUUUAGCAUUAACUCGACUACACCAAAUCAAAUUGUGCAGGAACUAAUGUUGACCCAAGGUAAAGUGGGAAGAAAUCUAGACAAAUCUAUAUGUAGUAGCUUAAUUAAUUUUGUGCAUACGCUAUCUUGCCCUCUCCAGUGUAAGAACUAAUAUCAUUGCAUUUUAGUCUCCA